AUCUGCAUAAAACUAAAAAUAAAAUAAAGAAAAUAAAUCUUUAUUGCUUCAUUUAAUGCAUCAUAAAAUAUUAAAAGCUCCACAUGAAUAAACUUAUGGUAACCUUGUAGGAAUAUUUACCGCGGUGACAUAAAGAAUAAUAAUAAUAGCUUGUGUAUUUACUUUCUUGCAUUAUGAAAAGCCUAAGCUCCAUAAGAAUAAAUAUUCUCUAUGGUGGCAUAAAAUAUAUAUAAUACAACUAUACAUCAUGAACACAUAUUUAAUUUCUACAUAAUUAAUCUAUAAAAUCCAAAAAAGAAAAAAAGAGAAUCCGGCUAGAAUCUAUCAAUUUAAAAUCAAUUCAUAAGAAUAAACAAUUACUUACUAGCUGACCGCUAACCCAUUAUUAAAUCGACCCUCGAGUUUUGGUUUUCUUUUUGGAGUAUUAUUAUGCAGAAACAAUAUUAUGACAAGGAGAGAGUCUAUUAGUGGCAUCCAACUGGAGCGCUGCGGGUUAGCUCACUCUGAAGAUCAUCAACACCAACUAUUGCAAACAUCUAGUUUGGGGGAG
rnacentral:lncRNA from 1 species